rnacentral:lncRNA from 1 species
AACACUAAAAAAGGAAAUGUGGAAUUCGAACUCAAGUUCUCCCACAAUCACUUUACUCACCCUUGCUUUACUACCCCAGGUCAUUACACUCAUUCAAAAUGUAAUGACAUAUCUAAAUAUUUAAAUAAAAACACAAAAUCUUAAUGAUAUUAGAAAAUAAUAUAAUAAUUUUAAUACUCAUAUAGUUAAUUAAAAUAUAAACACUAACUAAAAUACUUUCAUAGUCAAUAAUAACUAA